AUUGAACGCUGGCGGCAUGCUUUACACAUGCAAGUCGAACGGCAGCGCGGGCUUCGGCCUGGCGGCGAGUGGCGAACGGGCGAGUAAUGCAUCGGAACGUGCCCAGCAGUGGGGGAUAGCCCGGCGAAAGCCGGAUUAAUACCGCAUACGACCUGAGGGUGAAAGCGGGGGACCGAAAGGCCUCGCGCCAUUGGAGCGGCCGAUGUCGGAUUAGCUAGUUGGUGGGGUAAAGGCUUACCAAGGCGACGAUCCGUAGCUGGUCUGAGAGGACGACCAGCCACACUGGAACUGAGACACGGCCCAGACUCCUACGGGAGGCAGCAGUGGGGAAUUUUGGACAAUGGGGGCAACCCUGAUCCAGCCAUGCCGCGUGCGGGAAGAAGGCCUUCGGGUUGUAAACCGCUUUUGUUCGGGAAGAAAUCCUCUGGGCUAAUACCCCGGGGGGAUGACGGUACCGGAAGAAUAAGCACCGGCUAACUACGUG
rnacentral:rRNA from 1 species